rnacentral:rRNA from 1 species
UACAGAGGUGCCAAGCGUUAGGCGGAAUCACUGGGCUUAAAGCGCGUGUAGGUGGACGGGUAAGUAUCUUGUGAAAUCCCACGGCUCAACCGUGGAACUGCUGGAUAUACUGCUUGUCUUGAGGCACUUAGGGGCAGCUGGAACAAAUGGUGGAGCGGUGAAAUGCGUAGAUAUCGGGAGGAACACCGGUGGCGAAGGCGGUUCUCUGGGCCUUACCUGACGCUGAGGAGCGAAGCGUGGGAGCGAACAGG